rnacentral:rRNA from 1 species
GAUGAACGCUGGCGGCGUGCCUAAUACAUGCAAGUCGAGCGAACAGACGAGGAGCUUGCGCCUCUGACGUUAGCGGCGGACGGGUGAGUAACACGUGGAUAACCUACCUAUAAGACUGGGAUAACUUCGAGAAACCGGAGCUAAUACCGGAUAAUAUAUUGAACCGCAUGGUUCAAUAGUUAAAGACGGUUUUGGUGUCACUUAUCGAUGUAUCCGCGUCGCAGUAGAGAGUUGGUAAGGUAACGGCUUACCAAGGCAACGAUGCGUAGACGACCUGAGAGGGUGAUCGGCCAGAGUGGGAGGGAGACACGGUUGAGACUCCUACGGGAGGCAGCCGUAGGGAAUAUGCAGCAAUGGGGGAAAGCUUGACGGGGGAACGAGGCGUGAGUGGCGAAGGUGUGCGGAGCGUAAAGCUCUGUUAGUAGGAAACACCAAAUGUCUAAGAAAAUAUGCACGUGUUGACGGUACUUAAAAAGAAAGCCACGGCUAACUACGUG